UACGGGAGGGCAGCAGUGGGGAAUAUUGCACAAUGGGCGAAAGCCUGAUGCAGCUAUGCCGCGUGUAUGAAGAAGGCCUUAGGGUUGUAAAGUACUUUCAUCGGGGAGGAAAAAACAAAACUAAUAAUUUUAUUUCUUGACGUUACCCGAAAAAGAAGCACCGGCUAACUCCGUGCCAGCAGCCGCGGUAAUACGGAGGGUGCUAGCGUUAAUCAGAAUUACUGGGCGUAAAGAGCACGUAGGUGGUUUUUUUAAGUCAGAUGUGAAAUCCCUGGGCUUAACCUGGAACUGCAUUUUGAAACUGAAAUACUAGAGUAUCGUAGAGGGAGGUAGAAUUCUAGGUGUAGCGGUGAAAUGCGUAGAUAUCUGGAGGAAUACCUGUGGCGAAAGCGGCCUCCUAAACGAAUACUGACACUGAGGUGCGAAAGCGUGGGGAGCAAACAGGGAUUAGAUAC
rnacentral:rRNA from 1 species